rnacentral:rRNA from 1 species
UACGGAGGGUGCAAGCGUUGUCCGGAAUCACUGGGCGUAAAGAGCGUGUAGGCGGCCAUACAGGUCAGCUGUGAAAACUCGAGGCUCAACCUCGAGACGUCGGUUGAAACCGUAUGGCUAGAGUCCGGAAGAGGAGAGUGGAAUUCCCGGUGUAGCGGUGAAAUGCGCAGAUAUCGGGAAGAACACCCGUGGCGAAGGCGGCUCUCUGGGACGGUACUGACGCUGAGACGCGAAAGCGUGGGGAGCGAACAGG